CACAUGUUUGUGAUAAUUGGUCCUGGUUAAGACAGUCUAGAGCUGCAACUCUCGUUUGCUGUCAGGAUAUAUGACACUUCGCGUUGUAUUCUGCUUUCUUCUCAUCCGACAUUGGCAUACCAUGAUUGAACACUUUUCCUUUUAGGAUCGUCCGUUUGAUUAUGUGGGAUAUUAGCACUACCAUCCAUAGUUGUGUUUGUUAGGUCCUUAAAUGGGGUACAUUCUCUUGAUGUAAACAGGGGCACAUUCAUUUUUCUUCUCUUACUCAUCUGCAGAUAGAGAAGUACAAAUGUCAAACAAUAUAUAAAAGGUAAAGAGAGAGUGGUGAAGAUCAUUUAUGCAGGGCAACAUAGUCAUGUGAACCAGAUCCUGACUAUUAUGUACAAAGCAUCACCAAUUAGUUUCUUAAAAAUAAAAUAAAGAUUGAGCAUUAACCUCUAUAUGACUUGGGAGCAAUGUACGUGUAUAUCUCACAGAAUUCAAGGUGCGUAGUAUAAAGAAAAGAGCCCGUGUAUGCAUGCUAUACGUUGAGCCUGCCUGGGUGUCGGCGACCACACUUGCAUAUAGCGACGACCAGUCCUCGCCUAUGAUAACAUGUGUGAUUCUUUACCCGGGGCCGAUAGGGUGGUAGAACAUGAACAUAUUGAUGACCGGAUCACCAAAUAUAGUGGCAAAUACUGUGACUGCCAAACACAUCGUGGUUUUCACAAUAUUGUAGAAAACUGUAGCCACACACUCACGCACUUACAGGUGGGAUCCAUGACGUCACACCAUUGCUUCCUCCUCAUCGAUGUCAUCCUGAUCGGUAGGGCCAGCUUCUUUCGCGGGUCGACUUGUCGAUGGCGUGUGGACCUGCAACUCGAUCGAUGCCCGGCGUCGCGUUAGUGAGAGGUGAGAGCGUAACACAAACAAAGCCUAAGUCCUGUCCUCAAACAAGUCAAUGAAAAAUAAUCCAAUCCUUCUACUGCACAAUCAGGUAAAUCCCACAUAAAGCAUGCGCCUUGAGAUGUAUGACACAUUACUGAAUUUUGCAUAUAUAGGGCGUACGUAAGUCAGCCUACCUCGGUAACUUGCUGCACACAAAGUAUACUUUGCUGAAUUUUGCAUUUACCAAAUAUAAUGAGCCUCACUAAAUUAAGCAAACACAUGUCAGUUCAAGAGACAGGCACGCUGCUAACUGACCAAAUCAAUUUGAAUAUAGCAAAAUUCAGUACAACUCAUAUAUCAAAGCAAGCGUACAACUGGUGUGGCCGUUCCCAUGUGGGCGCAAGUGCGGCCUCGUUUGCCAGCCAGCGGCCGCCCUCGUGCGUUCACAUCCUCACGGGGGCGGCAACUCCCGUACGUGUGCGGAGUUGAGGCAAUGAGUGUGAGUUUUAGUGGCAACAGUAAUAUGCAGAUGUCUAAAUAAACGGUGACAUAAUGGUACCAUGAGUCAGUUGAUUCCAAGACAUGUCUUAAACACGAAAGGCUUGCAAGUGCAUGCUCUCUAAUCUCUACCUCUACACGCAGCCAUGUGAGGGCAGAAAAGAUGUAUGGAUUAAGAGGGAGAUGGGGUGGUUGGCCGUACCUGCACAUCAAGUGAGUGGUGGGGAUCGUGGAGCUGGGUCUCGCCUGGUGAACGGCCACUACACGCGUCACAUGACGGUGGAGGAGCAGCCGCAUGCUCGCCUGGAUCCUGUUGGUGGUGCUGCUUGAGGCCAACAAGAUCUAGCCUGCAUAAGAGGAGAACCAAGGCCAUCAUAUCGCGAGGCCUCUUCUUGGCUCGGAUCCCAUGGGCCGCCUCUUCGGGACGGCCGGGAGACGUCAGAUCCAUGCUGCCGUGUCGGCGUAGCAGCAGGCGAAGCUUGGGAGGGGUGUCGGCACACCGGUUAAGCACGGAGAGAGACGACGACGGGGAACUCAUGGUCGUGCUCGUCCUCCUCUGGACACGGUUCUCGCCAUGGAGGAGGCGGCCGGAUGGGGCAGGGAUGCCCCGGUGGAUUUCCUGAGACCAAGAUCUGGGAGGGUUAAAUUUUGGGUUAGCGCUAAUUUUGAGGUGGGAUUGGGUGGGCAGUUAGCGGUAAUUAUGGGUGUGAUUACGUGGUUGCCGAUUGAACCUUUCUAUUUUUUUUUGCUCGCUCGCUCGCAGAGUUUUCGUCCGGCACAUUAAAUUGCUAAACGUACUUUUUGGGAUAUUUAGUUGUUG
rnacentral:lncRNA from 1 species